rnacentral:lncRNA from 10 species
GCCUAUAAUCCCAGCACUUUGGGAGGCUGAGGUGGGCAGAUCACUUGAGGUCAGGAGUUCCAGUCCAGCCUGGCUAACAUAGUGAAACCCCGUCUCCACUAAAAAAUAAAAAAUCAGCCCGGCAUGGCUGUGGGCGCCUGUAAUCCCAGCUACUCAGGAGGCUGAAGUAGAAUUGCUUGAACCUGGGAGGCAGAGGUUGCAGUGAGCCGAGAUGGUGCCAUUGCACUCCAGCCUGGGUGACAAGAGCGAAACUGCAUCUCAGAAACAAAGAUGCCUAGCUUUCACCUUGUUGAUGUUUUUCUAAAUUUUGGAAUAAUAAAUUUAUAUAGGAAUACUGCAAGAAUAGUCCAUUUUUUUCUGAUGUCCCAACAUCACCAAAUGUAUCCAUCACAAGUAGGAAUACAUGGAAACAUUAAUGCCAGCCACUAACCAUUCAUGUUUACCCAGUAGUCCCAAUAAUAGCUUUGUCACACAAAAACAUGAUUAUGUUGGCUGGGCACAGUGGCUCCUGUAAUCCUAGCAUUUUGGGAGCCCAAGGCAGGAGUUCAAGACCAGGCUGGGUAAUGUAGCAAGACCCUGACUUUUUUUUUUUUUUUU